CAACACCGGCCUCUUCCUCUCCUCCACAGGACUCUCCUCAUCUACAACUACUUCUUCCUUCUCCGCCGAUCUCAGCAGCGGUUCUUGAACCCGUCCUUCCACGUCUUGUUCUUCACCGCGGUUCAAGCUUCGUAUGAACGAGUGGAAAGGUAUGGCGAUCGGAGAGAACAAGAGGAAGAGAAGUACGGAGGCAAAAACGACCGAGAACACUCCGGUUUUGAUUCCGAUGAUGUCGUAAGACUGAAGGUACACAGCCACAACGACGGCUAGGAUGUUGAACACGGCGAAGUAACGCGUCUCUUCGCUCUCCUCGUCGGCGGAGGAAGCCGGAGGGAUCUCACGGAGGAAGAAAACCGCCGUGAGACAGACAGCGAAAGGCACGACGGCGAGUAAAACGAGAAACGACGCCGGAUCGUUUGAGAAGAGAGCAGUGCAGAGAUCGGUGAAAAUAGCCGUGCUUAGACCGACGUAUCCUUUCAAGAUCCCCGGGAAAAUGCAUCGCCGGCGCCGGAGCACAUGGUUCUUGGAGGCGCCUGGGAAAUCGUGCCUGGGAGAGAUAAUCUUCGAGUUUUACAUUCAAUUAUAUGACAAAAUAUAUGAACAAAAUCUUGAAAAGUUUAUGCUAGUGUGCGGUGACUCUGACUACAAGUACAACAUUGUAUCAUGAAUGAAACCAAUAUAUUUUUCAUGUAAAAAACAUCAGUAUCUCAAACUAAAAAAUCGUGAUGAACAAUCUAGUGCAAUCUAACUAGAACAAUUAUUAACUAAGGUCACUGCCAGAACUUUUGGCCUUUUUGCUAGCGUGAAUCUUAGCAUAAAUCUCCUUUGUCCUAUAAGCCAACAGAAUAUCUAAACCGACUCCAAUAAUAGAAGCUGAAGCCAUCACCAAGAAGAUGAGACGGUAACAAUGAGCUCCGACGCAAGUGUUGCCCCCACCAGGAGUUGGUGUAGCCUCUGCAUCGUAGAGGAACCCAGCGAGAAGACCAGAGAAGAGGAACGAGCCGAGUGGCAAGUUAAGUACUAAGAUGUUGUAGAUGAGACCAUAGUAUUUGAGACCAAAGAGUUCUGAUGCUGUGGGUACGGUAAUAGCUAGACGGACACCAUAACAAACUCCGACCACCAUUGAACCGAUGUAAAGUGAAUUGGGGACAGCUAAAGCCAUUAGUAGAUACCCUACAGCCAUGAGGAUUUGAGAUGCUGCGUUCCAUAGUGGUCUUGGUGUUCCAGCUUUCCUAUAGAAAUCAAGAGUAAAAUUCACACUAUUUGUUCAGUAAAGUUAUUAAAUCAGCACGCUGAUAAUGAUCUUCUCUCUUUUUUGUUGAUCAUGAAAAAUCUAUGCACGUAAAUAGUUUGUAAACAUCUUAAAGUUUGUAAAGAAUCUAGAGGGGGACAUUCACGUGGUGAGGAAUUAAACAGUGUGGUCCUAAUAAAAAGAGCAAGAUCGCUGGAUUUGGACUUAUCUAUGCACAAGAACAAAAAACUAUUGAAAUGAUCAAACAGAGAAAUCUAAAAGAUCUGUUUUCUAUAAUUGAAAAGUCAAUAAGUGGAGAAAAAUGCAGACAAACCAUUGAUUGUGUGUCCAUGGGUGUAGAUGGGUUAUAGCUUUCUAAUUAAUGUUAGAACGGUAGUGAAAGCUUAACGAUAGCUCCGUACCAAAAAUACCAACCACAUGAAAAUAAAGUGAAUAGUAAGUUGCGGGCGGAUACAAUUGUAUGGAACAUAAAGUGUCGGCAAGUGCUAAUUGGAAGAUGGUGUGUAGAAACCUAACCAAAUAAUUAGACUUUUUGUCAACUUUGAAAAUAGUUAGAUAUUAAUCAAAAAAAAAAUUAGUAUUCACAAAAAAUAAUCAAAACUUAUUUAUGUCAAAAAAAUUAUUGUUACAAUUUCAAUGUAUUUCUGUUAUUAAUUAAUCUCUUUUACCAUUAUACUAAAUUUUUUAAAAUAAAAGCAAUAAAAUUUUAAUAGUUAAAUAAGGAUAAACUAAAUAUUAACUAUUUUCUUAAUAAGUACAUUUUGAUUUAUAUGCUUUUUCAAGAAAAUAACUUUAUCGGAAAUAACAAAAAAUUGAAAAGGUGACUGAAGUAGGAGGAGACUUACUUGAGAAAGUGUUCGGAGAGUGUACCGGAGAGAAUACGACCGAAGAAGCCCCAAAUACUAGUCAUGGAGACGAAGAUCGAGACGUCUGUGUAACCAAGUGCAAGCCCAAUCUGGCCCAUGUUGUUCAUCACUGCCAACCCAGUCCCUACACCACACAAGAACGAGACGAACAGCACCCAAAAAUCCACCGUCAGCAUCGCUUCCAUUAUCGUGUGUUCUUCUCCCAACACCGGCCUCUUCCUCUCCUCCACAGGACUCUCCUCAUCUACAACUACUUCUUCCUUCUCCGCCGAUCUCAGCAGCGGUUCUUGAACCCGUCCUUCCACGUCUUGUUCUUCACCGCGGUUCAAGCUUCGUAUGAACGAGUGGAAAGGUAUGGCGAUCGGAGAGAACAAGAGGAAGAGAAGUACGGAGGCAAAAACGACCGAGAACACUCCGGUUUUGAUUCCGAUGAUGUCGUAAGACUGAAGGUACACAGCCACAACGACGGCUAGGAUGUUGAACACGGCGAAGUAACGCGUCUCUUCGCUCUCCUCGUCGGCGGAGGAAGCCGGAGGGAUCUCACGGAGGAAGAAAACCGCCGUGAGACAGACAGCGAAAGGCACGACGGCG
rnacentral:lncRNA from 1 species